AAAACAAAACACAACAGACUCAUCGUUUCUCAUUGGAUCAGUGCUGGGGCUUCAAAGAGGCCUGCUCAUCCCCAUGCUCUUGCGACCCUUUGCCGGAUGCCUCCCUACAGCAGCCGUGCAGAACAGAACUCUUUCUAAAACGUCACCCACAGCAGACGCCAGUGCUUCAGCCAUGGCUUGAACGUUCUCACGUCUCCCACUAUUAUCUGCAUCUGAGUUCUCUUUACUCCCCUUAAACUACGACCGUGAAAGAGAGCGAUUUCUACAUCAUUUAGUUAUUUAUCUCCGUAAUACUCAGGAGUGAAAUUUUUAAAAGUGGCUACCAUUACUCUUGCUGCUAACAAUUGGCAGCUAUCCUGGGGAAGUGGUACGCGGGAUGAAAUGAGCCCCUGUAGGAAACAUGGCCUUUUCUUGUUUCUAAUAUUUUUUCGUCUUUGGUGUCAUCAGUCAAAUUAAUCUAUUUUCUCUUUCCACAUGACUCUCCAAAGUGAGAGAGAAGUUAAGGGUUUGAAGAGGCUGUUCUGGGCUUCCCACUGAACAUGGGGCUUAGGAUGUGGCUGGGCACCUGCUUCCCUUAACCCCUUGAGAUCUGAGAAUUCAGAACCCUUUCCUGUAGCCUAGCAAAAACAAAAACAGGAACAAACAAGGUGGGGGUGGGGUAUGUGGUGGCAUGGGGUGGGGGAUGUAUUACAGAAUACCAGUGCUGGUAUCAUGUUUCUCUUCCCCAUCUCCAUGUCCUAUUCCUCUUCUUCAUUUAUUAUUGUUUUAAAAAAUAACUCAUUGUGUCCAAUUAGUGGUACCUAUUCAUGGCACCAUCCACUAGAGCUUAAAAAAUACACAGACUCUACCUCAUGCUCAUGUAUACUCGAGGGUACAGACCUGACAGUAUACAGAAGACAAGAGAGAACAAUGUAAAGGGCUGAGAGAAAUACAAGUUCUGAGACUUGGGGAGGCACGGUCUCUAUGUAGGAUCCGUGAGUGCCCGGGCAUACUUGGAACUGACACCCGCCGGGACCUACAGGAUGGAGACCUAGCAGGUUAUUGAUUUUGCAGGUGUCUGAAUUUGAAGUGACAAAUUACUUGGUUACAGUCAGCUUUAGUGUUGCCUUCUUUACACAACUACACUAACACAUUUCUAGGCAACUUUGAGGACUCUUAAAAUUAAAACGUUUUAUAAAUAACAAAGCCACAGAGGGAAAACCAGGUGUAUUUACUAUUAUCAAAGUUCAUCUCCAUGUGCGUGUCUGAACAUAGCAACAGCAGCACAGAGGGAUCGCCUCAGUUACCCUGCUCCUCUGGAUCAUUUAGCUGCUGGCUAUGGUAUAGAGCUUCCAUGGUAUAGGACUUCUAUGUUCUAGAACUCCCAUGGUAUAGAACUUCUAUGGUAUAGAACUUCUAUGGUGUAGAGCUUCCAUGGUGUAGAGCUUCUUGUUCCAUCUCUGACUCCUUCCCCUUGCCCUCUGCUACAUGUGCUAUUCCCUCCAUCCCAUGCCAUUCAGAGAACACAGCCCUACACUCCUGCAGAGGCAGACUCAGGUACCUCACAUCUCUGUGUCUAAUCCCUUUGGGGGGGGGGUGAGGAUACACAGCCACCAAGUCUUGUGAAGCUAUGCCAGCCAUCUCAGCCAUUCCCCCGACACAUUCGUGACAUCCUCCUGCCGUAGAGGCUGAGGAUUUAUGUGACUUUAAUUGAAGGCUACAGAAGGGACAGGGAAACAUCAGCUCCUAUCAAUCACCGCGUCCCUUGCUUUCAUUGUGUACUUAACAGCUUGUUACUUAUUCAGGAGGGGGAUUCUGCACUGAGUCUGUCUCCGUGCAAACAGUCUUCCCAGGCUGAAGAAAGCCCUGAAACAGGGAGGUGGCCUCAUUAGGCACACAGGCCUGUGCCGCAUACCGAAACAUGGAGACACAGUGCUGAUGACCACGACUACAGUGGGGGAGUCAAGGGUUCCAGCAUCCUCCCGCUUUCCUGUCUAUGUCCCCGCAAGACUUCCCAGGCGUGUUUGACACCAUGGCCCUUUGUUGUGUUUUCAAAGCGAUCCUUGCUUGGCUCUUCUCAACAAUGAACUCUGCGACUGUUUAACUGAAAUCUCCUAUGGGGGGAACUUGAUGUCUGGUUUACUGUGCUCUCUUACAGAAUGCCUGCAGCACAGCAGACCCCUGAAGGAGCGAGCAUACGGCUGCAUGCACGUGAGGAAUGCUAACACUCAGUCUUGGUUCUGACUCCCCUUUUACCUUACGCCUCUACGCCAUCUGUAGAGGCUUGAGGACCCUUCAUCUUUAUCUUUUCUAAGGGCCAUCCUUUAGGGGGCUCAUUCAAGACCCAGUACGGUUAUCACCCGGCUCUCAGGUACUGCCUUGGCGUGUGAUGCUGAACUGUUCCUCCUGACCCCCAGGCAGAUCUCAGUCCCAAGUUUACCCGCCCAAGGUUUUGCUUCCCAACUUAGCUCAGCCCACUACCCUGGUGGUCGAAGUUAGGUUCCUACUUGCCAGUCGUUUCCCACUGAGCUACUGAUGUGUCUGACCCUGCGGACAGGCUCUUCUGUGAACCAAGGAAGAUGUCACCUGGGAACCAGUUAGAGGUCGCUUGGGCCUUUGUGUGGUCUUUAAAAUAAGGGGGUUUGCAAGCCAAUGAUGCGUAUUUUCUUAAUCCGUUUCACACAGAAGAAGGGGUUUUAGUGUGAGAUUUGCAAUCUUGUUCUUCAUCUAUUUCCCUAUUUCAACCUGACUACCUGGUUCAAAUUACCAACUGAUACCUGGGUAGGUUAUCAUGCAGAGAUAAGUGCCCCCUGCCCCACUGCGCCCCCAACAAUGGAGCAAACAUGACGGUCACCAUACAUGUGACUUCAGUAGUCCCUGGUGGGUGGGCAUGGAGUGACAGUGACCAUCAUGAGCCAACACAGUGAGCCUACAACCUUGAGCUGAAUAUACAAGGUUCCCAUGGGUCUGACACGCCCCGGGGAGUUUCCAUUCCUCUGCCCUAAACCUCUAGGGUUACUGGGAAUUUCUCCAAGGGCACAGGGAAGUGCUUGUGCUUGGAUUCAGAUUCCCCAAACAACAAGGAAAAAACCCAGGGGGCUCAGCGAGCCCCUCUGGAGGUCUGAACAGGUGAGACUGGCAGCUCUGCCUUGGGUUCCACUGGUGGUGGCCGAGUUGGCAGCCAUAGAGAUUUGCUGUGGCAGAAUACUUAAAGAUGUUCACACAGAGGGACAGAAGGGACAGUCGUUCAUUGUCCUCCUAUGGGACUCCAUCACUUGAAAAGUAAGGCCUAGAAAUUACAAUAUCAGCCGACUUCCAUACAUCCAUUUCCUUCACAAUGGUUGGCAUAUGCUGAGAAGGGAAUGCUCGGAGGGGCUGCUCACCACCACCCGGCCUUGCAAAGAACAAGGACACAGGAAGGAAGAAACGCAAUCACUAGCCCAAGGAAGAGACACCCAGGGAUGGGCACCAUUGUGUAGGAUGAGGUGAGGGAUAAUACAAAUUAUGAUUUCAGACCCUGGUAGGCAAGCUACACCAUGUUCUUUUCACAUCUGAAUCUCUGUACAGCAUGUUCUUGGUGACUACAGUCAAGGUCCUUGGAACACUCACAGUAGCUUACUUGAGUUUUUAAAAAGCCAGGUAUAAAUAUCAAUGCUGCUGCAGAGUACGCAGAAUAAAAUUUAACAUCUUUUGAGGGAGUCUUACUUCUGAGGCGCUGUUUGAAGUGCUUUAAGUGUCCUAUCUCGUUAGAUUUACAAUUCGCCAUCCUGUGAAAUCAGUCCUGUGGUCUCUGCCCUUUGCCAUACGAUCACAGACAGGCCCUGGGCAUGGCAAGUUUCUGGGAACAUACAGAUACUGAGCCAUGAAGUUGAGGGAGACUCUUCCCUUCCUUCUUUCCUUCUGAAGAUAAGGAGGGUCUCCCAGCAGCUGGGCUCUAGCUCACCCCCACUAUCCUCCUGGUUCAGCAGGUCAAGUACCAGAAUAAGGAGGCUGGAGCUUAGCUGACUGCCCCAUCUCAGGAGAACUACAGAGCAAGCAUCAGGAAGACAGGCAUAUACUCUGAGCCACAAGAGGAAGCCAGCAGAGAAACCUGUGUGUCCCACACAGAAUAGCCCUUGGAAAAGUGGUUUUACAUCAGCUGGCCCACAUUCCAGGACAACAUCCAACAGAGAGCAGAGCCCUUCCAAAGGCAGAAUGAAUGGCUUUCCCGGUAUUAACUCCCUGGUGUUUAAUGUCCGUGGACUCUGCAGAGAGCCACCUCCGAGAAUCCUGCAGGCAUAAUUGCCUUUCUUGCACUAGACCAGACCUCCGCAUCUCAAUGUGGUUGUGGGGCACUGCCCAGAAUUAAGAACUACAGGAGUCAAAGAGACACAGCUGGAUUACUGACCCUAGAAGGACGGGGCGGCCUGCCUGCUCCAGACCUUGCUGGGAGGUGAAGGCUAUCGUGGGAAAAUGACUACGUAUGAGAGACAAGGAGAGUCCACUAGUGAGAGAGACAAUGCACUUAUUCUACGACGGGGUGGACUGCCUCGUCCUCAUUAAUGGUGGAAACUGAAGAGUAAUACUCCAUUUCACUAGGGACUGUUGUUAAAACAAGUCUCAAAGAGGAUAUAAGGAAUGGAACCAUUACCAGACCUGCAACCCACUGAUGAUGCAGAAGCCACUCGGCCAGGAAAACAAGAGAAGGGGCAACAGAGAAGUGAGAGGUGAGGGAGAGGCUUGCUUGGGGUAUGCUGGGUCGGGGCUCACUGGGGUCGGGGCUAGCUGGGGCCAGGCCGAGAAACAGAAGCUGUGCACUGAAGGCCAGUGUUGUGAUGAACUAAGACAGUCCUUUCAGUUCCACUGGGAAACAGUUUCAAGUGGCCAUCACCAUCUGAAGGCCAGGUAUGGGAACUCAUUUUUUCUUCAGAGUGUGGAAUGGGUGCCAGAACCCUGACAACUGUACACCUCAGGAAUGGCUGCCGUGGAGAGUGGGGUGCUCUCCUCGCAGCUUAGUGCUGACUACUCCUGAGGCCUGGGCUGGGUUCUGGGCUGGGAACCUAUAAGCCAAUCCACCUUUCUGGAACACAGAGAGCAUGUAUAAGAAAGCCAGAAUACUCUCCCAGACGUCACUGGAACCAUCUACUGUGCUGCGGUGACAGAGGCCCUGCGAUGUCUGACCCCUCAGAAACUCUCGCUGACUUCUGCCAUGUUCACAGUGAAGUCUGCCCUCCCAGAUGCAAAUCUCUGAAGCCAGAAAACCCCUCCAGGUUUCUCCUUUUCAAACUGUGGCCAGAGGGUGGCAAUCAAAACUAAUUCAAUAGGACACACCGUGGGGAGGGGAUGGGGCUGCAUGCACAGACAGGUACAGUACUGAAGUCGAAUGAGUUUUCACAAGACUGACUGUUUCUGAAGACAUAUCAAGAAAUGUGUUCUGUGGAAGAGGAGCUGGGCAGCCCUUUCCUGAAGAAAGAGACAGACACGUCACAGGAGAUGGGACAGCUGUGCAUUUGCCCCAUGGGACCAGCAUGACUUCCCACCUGGCUGAGUGCUCACCACACAGGUGAGCCUGGCUUCUGGCUCAUUCCUGUGUGUGCUUGCGAUUCUUGUGUAUCUUAAGCUUCUGCAUGGUAUGGAGCGCUGACCAGGAGGUUGGUACUAUCUAUUGAGUCAGUUAAUGAGCCUGGUCACUCCUCCUAAUGUCCUGGUUCUGACACAACCUUCUGUCCCUGCAGAAGGCUUCAUCUUGGCAGCAGGUGUGGACUCUUCUUGCCAGUGUGGCCUGACCAGAGACAUUUCUACCUCCUGUUAUUUUCUAGAUCCCCGUGAGUGCUCAUCAUCCAACAUGAGGGCCAGCACUGCAUCUUCUGAGACAAGGCAGAUGGGGAGAAGUUCAAGGGGACAGUGUCACACUGUCUGUCUGGAUGCUGUGUGUCCUCCCAAGGCAAUCUCUAAGAACCAUGCCAAGGCUUCUUAAAAAUGUCCAGCUCAGGUUUCUCCACAUGGAGGGAGUGAAGUUCAGGCCUUGAGCUUUUACUAAAGAGUUUACUUUUUUAUUGACUAGUGAAGCAGGCUCCCUUAGGGUUGUCGAGGCCAGGGAAGGGGGAGGUAAUUUUAUGCUUAUAUGGUGUCCGUUAGUCUCUGGGUGCCAUGACGCCCUCCUUCCUAACCAUGGAGCUGUGCUCUGUCUUAAGAGUAACUAAGGGCUCACAGGGAGGUGCCAUUCACAUGGGUGAAUUUGAUCCUCACCAUGUGAGGUACCUGUUCAGGGCCUGUUCUUCUGUUUCCUAGCUUGCCUUCCUCAUCUACAAUCUGUGGAUACUCUCGACGCCUACCUCUGUACUCACGCCAACAAGCUGGUGAGUUCUGCCCAGGGAUGGAGACCCAUCUGCAUAGAGAGCUGCUCUGCUGAGCUACCAAACACUCCUUCCACCUUGAUACACUCGGGAGGCUCCGAUAACUUCCAGGACAGCACAGGAUUUGAACCUUGUGACUAUGGAUGGUAUGCAGCUAGUGAGAGCGACUUCAUCCUACAGUGGCCAUGAGAUGAUGGAUGGACAGCAGAUGCUAUCAAUCUAUGGAUUCUCUGAACUGAAACGACCAAGCCUCUUACUAAGAUUGCUGCAGUUUGGAAUUCGAUAUCUUUUGGUAUCAAACCUACAAUGUGACUGUGAAUUACUGUUUCCACGUGGGAAGAUGAGAAUGUUCCCCCUGGUACUUCCUACCACAGUGAUUUCCCUCAUGCAUGGAUGAAGCAAUAAAACAUAUGAUGGGUUGGAACUCUGAAAAUGUGAGCCCAGGUAAACCUUUCUUCUUUUUAUGUUUGCGUAUCUCAGGUAUUUCAUCACAGUGAUGGCAAGUCCACCAACACAGGAUAGUAAAUAUUACACACCUAAACAUCCUCUUUUGCUAUUGAGCUUGGGAUCUAUAGAUCUUAUUAUUUUUUUUUUUUUUAGAUAAUAGAUCUUUCUACUUUCUUGAUCAUGGAAAGACAUACAAUAUCGUAAAAUCUAGAGACUUCUACUUAUAACCUAAUCGCUCUUAACCCACAAGAGUUAGUUCUUGGGUUGGAAGCUCCAACAGCUUCCCUACACCACCUACAAGGCCUCGGAUGCAGAAGCCUGCUGAUAAUGUCCACCUUCAAGACAAUAGCUGUAAGUCCUCCGCCUUCUGGGACAUUUGGAUGGAGACUGUCUUAGUUAAGGUUUUCACUGCCGUGAUAAAGACCAUGACCAUAAGCAACUCUGGAAGAAAGAGGUAACCCCAGUUCAUAUGUCUCAGGGAUACCAGGACAGGGACUUAAGGCAGGAGCCCAGUGCAGGGGCUAAAGCAGGGGCCAUGGGGGACUGCAGCUUACUAGCUUGCUCCUCAUGGUUUGCUCAGCCUGCUUUCUUAUAGAACCAGCCCAAGAGGUAGCAUUACCUACAAUAACCUGGGUGUUCCCACAUCCAUGUUCUGUUCUAUUGAUAUAGACAGUCUCGGUAAUAGCAACACUUGGAACCAAACACUGCUCAGAAUAGAUUAUGUAAGACCCCUUCCUUUAAUCAUGACCCUGUAGGAGGCAGGAAAGAUUAAGCUGGGGCCAAAGAGGCAAGGGCCAGAAUGGGGAGAGACUAGCUCACAGUGAGGUAUUAUGGUAUACCCACUGGAAAGGGUCAUGGUGCCAAGUGUAGGUGAGGGUGUCAUACAGUGUGAGCUGUCAGAUGCUGAUACUGAACAUGAACAUGAAAAGAAGAAGUAGCUAUUAUGGAGUAAAGAGGAAGAUCCAUCUUAUAUAUCAGUAGCAAGAAGUUGAUAUUAUGUGCAUCCUGGGGGCUAAAUAAGAAUGUGCCUAGCAAUACUGUUUACAAUCAACAACAACGUUACUACCUUAUCAAGUUGAUGCUAUUCAGUAACCACAAUGAAUGGACUACAGUUACGAACACCAGACUGGAUUAGCAGCAGUCACUACUCGUGCACAGUGACUGAGCAAUGGGCCAUGAGUACAGAGAGGAAAUGAUGUUCCUUAAUUGAAACAUUUACAUGCAUCACAUGUGUGUCUAUGGAGGCAAGAAGAGGACACUGGAUCCCUGGAACUUAAGUUGGGAGCUGCCUUGUGGCUGCUGGGAACUGAACCCAGGACCUCUGGAAGAACAGCCAGCGCUCUUAACCGCUGAGGUAGUACUACAGCCCCUGACUUUUUAAUUAUAUUUAAUGUCAAUGACUUUAAAUUUAAAUAACCAUAUUAGCUAGAUAUUUACUAUGUUGUGGACUUGGUAUGACAGUGUAAAACAGCCAACUUACAAUUUCCUAUUUACUACAUGUUAAAAUGACAAUAUUUGUGCUAUCCUAACUUAAAGAGUUAUUCUACAUCCACACUUUGUUUCUAUUUAGCAUGCCUAUUAUCAAUGUUCUGAGAUGUUUUAUAUAUGGCUCAUAUUAUACUACAGGCUACAUUUGUUUCUGGGAUGAUUUUGCUGGGAGGUAUUCAAAACAGAAGAAAAAGGAAAAAUUAUUACUAUAAGAUUCUCUUUCUCACAUAUGGUAUGUAUGUAUGUAUGUAUGCAUGUAUGUAUGUAUGUAUGUGUUACACAUCUAACUCAGAAGUCAUGGACAUCAUGCUAGGGAAAUACACUGUCACAGACCACAUCCCAGUUCAACAGUCUCUAUUUCAGUGGAUGAAGCAGCAGGCUGUGAUCAGAACAAGGGUGCUGGCUACUGUCUAGGUCUAGACUUGAUUGGUGGCUUCACGAACUUUUGCUUUAUAACAAUAUGUGAAAGCAUCUGCCUUCAGGAUGUUAUGCUGUGUGAAGCACCGUGUGCAACAGAAUAAAAAGGCAACCACCGUGAGACUCUGGCCCCGAGGUUUAGCGGCAGGAAACUACACAAAGAAAUAGAAUGGCCAUUAUUUGGGCCUGGGAUGAGUGAGGGACAGAGGGCUUUUUUAAGAAACUCUAUGCAGAGGUUCAUGUUUGCAAGAUGAAAAGAAUUCUGAAGACGGGUGGUGUGAUGGCUGUUCAGUUGUGCGAGAAGGCAAAUGCUACGCUGUGUGUAGUCCAUACAACUCAGAAAGCGUGAGUGCACUCAGUCCAUCUCCUCCAUCUCUACUCUAACCCUGACUCCUCCAUGGAAACGUCACCUUCAAGGAUGGCAAGGACACACACGGAGUUCCAGCCCUGAGUCCUUUGCUGGAACCAUGUCCCUGGCAUGGCUUGCUCCCUUUCGCUUGUGGGGUAUUGGCAGUAGUAACAAGGACGCUACUUUGGUGAUGGAGAAGUCACACAUUAUUGGCGUCUAUUUGCCAGACACUGCUAAGAAUUAGAAAGAGGUUCUGACAUAUUCUUGUGGUGUUAAAAUAAGAGUGAACAUCGAGAACUGAAUCUGCCUUCUAGGAAGGUACAAUUGUUCCUUGGUAUACGGUGGGGUUUGGUCUCAGAACUCCAUAAAUGCUCAAAUCUAUGGAUAUUCAUAGUCUUUCUAUAAAAUGUGUACAUUUUGCUUGUAACCUAAGCAAACUCUCCUGAGUACUUUAAAUUGGCUCUAUGGGGUACAAUGGAAUCGCGAGGUAAAUCGCUGCUCUCCCUUACUGUUUCUGGCAUAAUGACUGGAAAUUUGCACCCCUUCAGUAUAAGCACAAGUUUCCCUCCCAAAAUUUCAAUCUGAGGUUGGUUGACUCCUUCGAUGUGCUGCCUAGCAAGAUGGUGAGCUAACACUAUAAACAGGCUAGCCUCCAGAAGGAGCCAGCCUACAGAAAUCACAGGGAGGACCUUUACCAGUGGAAAGCAAGGUGGUUAUUGUGGGUGUGCUGUUUAGUGCCAAGUGUCAGCUUGGCACAGAUUAGAGUCACCUGGAAAAUGACCUCAGAGUGACUGCCAAGUUAGGUGGGCCUGUGAGCAUGAGAUGAUGUUAAUUGAUGUGGGAAGACCCAGCCUAGAGUAGGUGCCACCAUUCUGUGUUUUGGGAUCUCAGACUACGCAUGCAUGAGCUCGCUGUCUCCCUGCCCUUGAGUGUAGGUGUGGCCAACUGCUUCACUGUUCCCUGCCUUGGUUUCCCCAUAAAGACACUGUGACCCAGAACUGUGGGCUGAAACAAACCCCUUUUGCCACCAACUUGCUUUUCCUGUGGUAUUUUAUUAUAAUAACAGAAAGGGAAGGAGGCUAAUCCCUCAUCCUUCUAUAGGUUUGUGUGAAAAGCAUCCUUGCUAAAUAGCAAUUUAAUAAAUAGGAGGGUAUAUAACACACACACACACACACACACACACACACACACACACACACACACACACUGAACCACCAUGGAAAGAGGCAAUGUGAGUGACCCUUUUAGGUUCAAAGCCUCUGCUCAUUGCUGCUGUGGCUUCCAGCAUCUAACCUGAAGUCUAGUAGCCAGUGAACCGCAAAAUCAACAUUGACUUGUUGGGAACAAAUAGUUUGCAUCGCCAGAUUUUUUUGUUUUGUUUUGUUUUUGUUUUUCAGAUUCUACCUUCUCUUAAGUCAGAUAUGUACUGAGAUGAAUACACCAUAACCAUUCUUUUACGGAGGCGAAGUUAUUCUCUGAGGUAAUCGUGAAGCUGAGUCCUAGCAAAGGUUUGUAAGGAGAUGCCUAGCAGACAUUUCUAGCAUGUAACAAAUGCCACCAGGGUCACCCAGAAUGAAGAACGAAUGCCCAGACUCACGGACAGUCCCUGUUCUGAAGGCCACCAGCUGGGCCUUUCUAGGCCAAGGACCUGGGCAUUGUUGUUGAAUGGAGGAGGAGGAGCGUUCAGAGAACUCCACUGGUCAUGUAUAAAUUUGGGAAGUCCAACAGGAUCUACGGCUACCGGUUGUUAACCAUGGAAAUGGUAUGGCCAACACUUCAAAGACUUAGUGUUUCUGGAGGUCCCAGCCAGGUAAGUUUGAGAUGACUCAGACAUCGGCAUUAUUGACGCCCAUCUAAGCAUCUAUCCUAGCAUGAGGUUUUCCUCUGGUUAUGCCAAAGCUCUUUCAUGUUCUUAUUUUGUGUUGAAUGAAAACAUCGGAAUUUCCAGAAUCCCGGAUAUCUGCAUUUGAAAGACCUCAAUGGGGGACUCGGAGGUCCUUGACUUUGCCGAGCUUCAGUAAGGAGGGACAUGUCUCCUCUCUUAGGACUGUUGGGAGGACUAAGUACAACCAUACAUGUCAGUCCUGGAACAAGGCCCUGUUCAUUCCUUCAUCAGUCAGAUUUUCCUCGCUGAGACCAGACGCCAGAGAGAGAAACUCAGAGGAGCAUGUUCCAAAGCUUCUGAGGCCUUGGUCUGAUUCUGGCGGAGCAGAGGGGACAGAGGAAUACAGGAGAGGCCCAGGGAAAGCAAGCAGUAGCACUGAGGACGACAUCUCCAGUGACCGCUGCCUCCUGACUUUCACCAGUUCCCAAUGAGGCCGUCUAUGUUAACGGCUCUGGCAGGGGAAUCUAUCCACUGACAGUGUUAGAGUCCUCAGGAUCGGAUCAUUCUCCCAGACCCAUCAGCCGGGAACCAAGUCACUAACAGUUCCUACUCGGAAGACUCCCCUCGUUUGUGGGAAUGAAAGCAACAUUCUGGUUUAAGUUUCAGAACAGAAUUCAGAGCCCUGAGAGCAUGCCUUGUGCUUUGAGAACAGAAAAGCUUAGGAACUGAGAGCUCUAAGUAGCCGGCCCCUGGGGGUGGAGGUGGGGGUGAGGACCAGAACAGCGCCUAAUUUUGAAGGGAAACAGGAAGAGGUCUGAGUCACACUCAUCAGCUCUCACACCGGGAUCUCCAGGCAGCUACUUAGUAACUUUUCUAUCCUCCUCCUGUGCUGUGAAUCAAAGAGCUUAAGAUCCCAGGCUCUGGAGCCAGCCAGAAUUCUGGUGUGAACCCUAGUCCUGUCACUUUCUGGUUAUGAGACCUUGAACGGAUUGAUUAGUACCUCGAUUUCCCCUGCUGUAAAUGGGAUCAGUAAUACUGCGGACGUUUCACAGCAUGAGGGUUGAGUGAGUUAAUAAAAUGUGUUCACAAGAGAGGGAAUGCUAGCCAUCACAGUUUUAGGGCUGAAAAUGGCAUAGCCUAAGACCAGAUCAUUUUUCACCUGGACUAUUUCAUCUGUCUGUCUGUCAUAUAGAUCUAUGCUGACAGAAGUUUUUCUUUUUUCUUUUUUCUUUUUUUUUGG
rnacentral:sRNA from 1 species